rnacentral:tRNA from 1 species
AGAAAAGUAAGCUAAAUUAAGCUAAUAGGCUCAUACCCUAUUUAUAGAAGUAAAAAAAUCUUCUCUUCUCUA